AGCUUCUUAAAAGUAGUUGCUUUUAUAGAAAUUCUUUAGAAAGCUGGACAGGCCCUGAUCCUUUGGGUCCAAAUCCUGCACAAGCCCUUGAGGACCCAAUACAUAUUGACCAAUGACAUGGUGCCGCUGCUUUGCAUGCUCCAAGAUGUUGUUCAGCUCUUCUGUUCCCUUGAAGAGAAGCAUAUCAAUCACCUGCACAUUUACUAGUAUCAUGAAGAUGGAAAAUAACUAUUUUCAAGCCUGAAGGAGGAAUCGAUAUUAUACCAGUCAUGUAAUAACUAAGGUCUAUAGAUUUCAAACAAUUCAAUGCCUUCAAAAAUUCAAAAGCUAACAUCUUGGUGGCAAAAUGGGCAAGUUAAUUUGGAAGUGUAAGACAGGCAUUACGUUAAGUGUAGCCUACAAAUUAGGGUUUUUAUUUUGACUAAAGAUAUAGCUAUAAACUCUUUUGCACAAAUUAUUUUGUACAAACCAAUGUACCAUCACAUGAAUGGUUGAAUAAAAACAUCACAUGGUCCACAAGAUUUUUUUCAUAUUUGCAUCCAACCAAUCAUGUCAUAACACAUCAGUGUGUACAAAAAUAGUUUAACGUACAACAGUUGAAAGCUACAUUACUCUUUUAUUUCGCAGGGUUUUAGUAACCAGUCAAAAUAAACAGCAGACCAACAAAAGUAUAGACUAUUGCCAAUUAAAACCAACAAAUUUCAUUGUUUCUUCCCCCAUUCUUAUCAUACAAAUUUGUUCUCUGUGGAAGCCUUUAUACAUUAUUUGGAUUGUUAACGGAAAACAGACAAAGUUUGAAGGACCAAAAGACAUUAUACAGUCCAUCAGACAUCAUCAUAAUUCCACUUCUAGAUCAGACAGCAGUAAAGGAGAAAAUUUCGAAAUCACAGGAAACACAGAAAGGAGAAAAUUCCCAAUCUGGCUCGAAUUGCAGCUUCAAAUUAGAUCUAAUUUUUGUUUUUUAUUCUUCAAGAUAGAUGCAUUAUCUAAAAGCACACCCAAAAUAUCAACAAUGUGUGUCCAAUCUUCAUGUAUCAAAGCCUCCAAUUGCGAUGAGAGUCAAAUUUUAAGAAAUGUUUUAAAAAGAUAUUAAAUGAAUAGUGUCAAAACUUUCCCCAAUGCCCCAAUAAUUUGAAGAGGAAAGCAAGAAGAGAUUCAGCAUCGCUAAACUCCACAGGAAUUAGACAAACAAAAUAGUGAAGAACGGUAGACACUAAAAGCAAAAGAACACCAGCUGGUAUUCUCGAUCUACUAUUUAAAAGCCAAUCAAUUUACCAAUAAGAGACUAUCAAGAAACAGUUUUUACAAACACAUCCCUAAUGCUUAAUCUGCCACAUCCCAAAUACACACACAAUCAUGAAAACACAACCUUCCUUCAAAGCAUUUAGAACAAACAGCUGCCCAAACACCUACAAGCCAGAUAUUAUAAUAUUAUCAACAAAAGGCAGGAGAAAGAGUUAUUUUGUAUAUAAAAUUCAUUAGAAAUAUUUCACAAUCAUCUAAAAUUUCUAAUUCAUAAUACUAUUGUAAAUUCAUAAAAUUUUAGGAAUUAAAGAAAAUUUUUAAAAGCAGUUCAGGAAAAAACUUGUAAAUCACGAUUCAAUUGAUGUAUAAUCUUCUUUAGUAUCUUCUAUCUUAUCUGGGAAUCUGUUUCAUGGACAGCUUUUAGUUGUUCAAAAUGACAUUUUGAAUGGUUAGUCAUGCAAUUUGGUUUAAAAGAUUCACAAGUAUUUCAAGAUUGAUAAUAAUGGCAGUAUAUUAAUAACCCCAAAUGGAGAAAAUUUCUUUAAAAAAUCAACAUUUGUUCAACCAAACUUUGAAACACAAGUGGUGCCGUAUGAAAAGAAGUCAAUAACAAUUGAAAAAGAAAUAGACAUGCAACAUUUUGAUUCAUUAUUAGAAGAAGACAAUACAGUAGAAAAUAGGCUAGAAAGAAAUAUUCACAAAAGUGAUGAGCUAGAAAACAAUGAAUUGGAAAUUUUAGACUAUAUAAAAUUAAUCAUUAUUUUAUUACAGAUAAUACAUUUUUUACCAAAAAAAUGAUGUCCAAGUUUCUAAAACAUUUACUUCAAAAUCUGAUUCUAAUUCUGAGCUGUUACUAGUUUCUAAUUCACUACUACUAUAUUCACUAAGAUUACAAGUUCAAUUUGUAUUUUAUAAUUUGCAAGUACAGGUCAAUUACACAAUCAUAUAAAAUUUCCAAUUCAUGGUUUCUAGCUCAUCACUUUUGUGCAUAUUAUGUUCUAGCUUGCUUUCUAGCUUUUUUCUCCAUCGUAUUAUCUUCUUCUAGCAUAUUACGUUCUAGCUUUUUUUCCAUCGUAUUAUCUUCUUCUAACAAUGAAUCAAAAUAUUGCAUGUCUAUUUGUUUUUCAAUUGUUAUUGACUUCUUUUCAUAUGGCAGCACAUAUGCUUCAAAUUUAGGUUAAAAAAAUGUUGAUUUUUUUGAGAAAUUUACUCCACUUGGGGUUAUUAGUAUAUUAACAUUGUUAUCAAUCUUAAAAUGCUUGUAGAACAUUUUUUGAACUAAAUGGCACGACUGACUAUUCAAAAUGUCUUUCAGAACAACCAAAAGCAUAUAGAAAAAAGCCUCUAAGGUACAUCCGCCUUGGCCGUACAGCAGGAAGAUAAAAAAGUUAAAAUUUUAUUUUUAUUUUUAGCCGUGAAUUAAAAAAAAGAUAAUACUAGAAACCGUCGCAUCUAAAUCAAAGGGAUAAUUAAAUAAACUACUUAACCUGGAUUUAAUCAACAACACUAAGCAUGGAAAUUACUUUGAUUUGCAAUUAAAUAAGUUGAUUAAAAAAAUAAGGAAGAAUUAUUGAAAAGAAGAGAAAUGAAAACAAUACGACACCUUAGGAUUGGUGACAUUAGCGUUCUUGCGGAUCUCGGAUGCGAUGAUGGAACGGAGCUGGGACUUGGAAACGAUGUCAUCUAGGUUGUAGAUUUCCAUUAUUGACGGAAUUGAACGGCACGCCGUUUUGAAAAUUUCAAAUACUCGGCUUCGAGCCUCCUCUAGGUUUACCGAGUUCGGCGGCACCUUUACGGCUC
rnacentral:lncRNA from 1 species